AGACAGGUGGGCGGGAUGAUGUGACCUACAACAUCAUCUGCAAAAAGUGCCGGGCAGACCGCCGGAGCUGCUCCCGCUGUGACGACAAUGUGGAGUUUGUGCCCAGGCAGCUGGGCCUGACGGAGUGCCGCGUCUCCAUCAGCAGCCUGUGGGCCCACACCCCCUACACCUUUGACAUCCAGGCCAUCAAUGGAGUCUCCAGCAAGAGUCCCUUCCCCCCACAGCACGUCUCUGUCAACAUCACCACAAACCAAGCCGCCCCCUCCACCGUUCCCAUCAUGCACCAAGUCAGUGCCACUAUGAGGAGCAUCACCUUGUCAUGGCCACAGCCGGAGCAGCCCAAUGGCAUCAUCCUGGACUAUGAGAUCCGGUACUAUGAGAAGGUGAGCCAGCUCUACCUGCAAGCUUGCAAGACCCAAGGCCAGCCACUGUUCCAUGGAUGGUUGCUAGCUGAAGGCACAAAGGAGAUAGGCUGCUGAGGUGGGGAGGAUUCUGGUGACAGAGGCCAG
rnacentral:sRNA from 1 species